CCGAGGCUGCAGUGCAGUGGCGCGAUCUCAGCUCACCGCCUCCCCGGUUCAAGCGAUUCUCCUGCCUCAGCCUCUCGAGUAGCUGAGAUUACAGGCUCCCACCCCCACACCCGGUUAAUUUUUGUAUUUUUAGAGAGACAGGGUUUCACCAUGUUGGCAGGGCUGGUCUCAAACCCGUGACCUCGUGAUCUGCCCACCUCAGCCUCCCAAAGUGCUGGGAUUACAGGCGUGAACACUGCGUGAAAGUUUUUCGUUGCAGAAAGGAGCCCUCGGCUCCUGUCAGUCAGGGGCAGAGGGGAGGACGCUGGGUUCUCUCCUCAGUGGAGGCUGAAGACCUGGGAAAGAAGGAAAGCUGCAGUGUUGUGCCCUCGAGCCUGGGGCUUCUGGAGCGUUCCUGUUCCUGGUUCAGCUCAGCAAGCUGACAUUUGAAAGCUUCUGGAGGUUUCGUGUUAGAGGUGGCAGCCAUGUCCUGUCGACGGAAGACGCUGGGCCUUGGAAACAGCCUGCCCUCAGCAGAGUUUGUCAUGUUCGAGUUUUGGCUGCCCGAUGUUCAGCUUUUGGGUCUGGCUGAAGCUGCUCUGGUGAUUAUGCACAAACCUAUCCGAGGCAGUGAGAGCGCAGGUGCACCUGAGAGCCAGCCACGGUAUCAAGCUCUGAGGAUUCGAGCAAAGACACACAUUUGCUGGGCCUGA
rnacentral:lncRNA from 13 species